AGAACGAACGCUGGCGGCAUGCCUAAUACAUGCAAGUCGAACGAACUCUUCGGAGUUAGUGGCGCACGGGUGCGUAACGCGUGGGAAUCUGCCCCUUGGUUCGGAAUAACAGUUGGAAACGACUGCUAAUACCGGAUGAUGACGAAAGUCCAAAGAUUUAUCGCCAAGGGAUGAGCCCGCGUAGGAUUAGCUAGUUGGUGAGGUAAAGGCUCACCAAGGCAACGAUCCUUAGCUGGUCUGAGAGGAUGAUCAGCCACACUGGGACUGAGACACGGCCCAGACUCCUACGGGAGGCAGCAGUAGGGAAUAUUGGACAAUGGGCGAAAGCCUGAUCCAGCAAUGCCGCGUGAGUGAUGAAGGCCUUAGGUUGUAAAGCUCUUUUACCCGAGAUGAUAAUGACAGUAUCGGGAGAAGUAAGCCCCGGACUAACCUCCGCGCCAGCCAGCCGC
rnacentral:rRNA from 1 species